GUUUAGUCUGUGGGUUUCUUGGCGACUAUGAAAGCGUGUAACAUGGCGAAGAAGAAAUACACGAACUAACUGGACACUCCAUAGACGUACUGUUGCUAUCCCGUUCCACUCACCGCAUUCUUCAGGACGGGGCGUGUGACGUGUGUGAUGGAGAAGAGAAAUGGACCUGCAAGCCCCCUUAUGAGAGACAGAUGGCUGAUGGUGAUGUGGACUCAGUUGGUGGAUUCCAGAGAUAUCGUAAACUUCAAGCUUGCAGUUUGUCAGGCCGUGGAUUUCAGACCUACACUAGUCAGAAAUCUUGAAGAACCAAUGGAUUAGUGCUUCAGAAGCUUGCAGUCACAUCUCAGACUUUGAAAAUGUAUUUUUUAUUAGUCUGAUAAUGUUCCCAGACCAUUCUUAGGAAACGGUGCCUAAAAGCUGCAGGAAGUAAAUACUUAAAUUUUAUGUAUUCUUGUUUUCUUACCUCAGGCCCAAAGUUCCGUGGUUGUAACCAGCUCAUUGAGGGGAAAAUUUCCCCGCAGUGUUCAGAUUAGUGGUCAACCGACAUAGUUUUUUAAAUGGCUGAUACUUAAUCUAUUAUCAUCAAGUGUAGCUAUAGCCUAAAAUGCUAAAAUGUGUGGUUGUAGUCUUAUAAAGUACCACUGUCACUACUAACCCUAAAGUAUAACUUAAACUCAAUCACAGUUUGUGUUAAAUGUAAAUAUAAAUAUUGAUAAUUACAGAGAGAAUCUUUUUGAAGCAUGUGGUGUGUCACAAAUUCAGAUUUUGAUGUUUAAAUAGUGUUAAAAAGUAUUACAUCGUAAAUUGAAUAGAAUUUCAAAUUCUGUAUUUUCUCAGAUAUUUAAAAAAGCAGGAUUUUUAAAAAAUAUUUAAAUUAACUUUUUUAACUAAAUAAAAUAUAUUAAAUUGGCUAAUAUCGCAAUGAAUUUUAUUUUUUAUUAUAAAAUAUUUUUGACAUUACACCACUAAAUCUACAAUAGAAAUAAAUAACUUUUAAAUGUUUUACCUGUUAACUAUAAAUUAAAUAUUGAAUAAUCCAUCGAUUCUCAAAAGGCACCAUUCCUUGAGAAUAGUCUUCUCACUCUAUACUUAAAAUCAUAAAAAAAAGAGGAAAAUAAAAUUUCACAACUUAGAGACAAAUAUAAAAUGUCAAAACAGGGGGCAUUGGAAAUAAUUGUUAGACUUAAAAAGAUCAUUAUUUCUCUCCAGAGAGUUGCAAAACAGGAGUCUGCAACAAUGUGUAUCAAAAUUAUUACUCACAUUAAGUUCUUAUAUUUCAAAUAAAUGGUAAAUUUAGCAAAGGUCUGAAAAUGAAUGUGGGUUUACUGUUCCUAUUUCAUAUUUACUGAACUUUAUACAUGAUUGUACAAUCUAAAGUUAAGAACAUGCCAGUGGUUGCACACUGUAAACAAUAGAAACUCUGUCUGUGUGGGCUUUAAAUGCUCUUUUUUUGUUUCCAGGUUUUUUUUUCUGAAAACAGCAGUCAGUUGUCUCAGAUUUGUCUUGUUUUUGGGAUUGAGUAAUAGGGUUCAUUGCGAUGACUGUUGCUGAUUUCAGUCGAUCCGUCUUGUCUUUUUUGAAACCAUACGGCCUUCCCUAGGGUUCAGCUCUCCUGUCGCUUACAAACACUGGCCCCCAUCCCCUCCACAGCAAGCAUGUGGAACAUGUCAUACAGCUUUUUUAAUGGGAGUACGUUAAGCUGUCAGUCACUCGCUCCCAAGGGGGUGUAACCAAGAUCCCCCCCACCACCUGCUGAUAUCCCGUCCCGUCUCAGUGC